UACGUAGGCGGAAAAUUAAGUCAGUAGUGAAAUCCUGCAGCUUAACUGUAGAACUGUUAUUGAUACUGGUUUUCUUGAAUUUAGUUGAGGUGGGCGGAAUGUGUAAUGUAGCGGUGAAAUGCUUAGAUAUUACACAGAACACCGAUUGCGAAGGCAGCUUACUAAACUAUGAUUGACGCUGAGGUACGAAAGCGUGGGGAGCGAACAGGAUUAGAUACCCUGGUAGUCC
rnacentral:rRNA from 1 species